UACGGAGGGAGCUAGCGUUGUUCGGAAUUACUGGGCGUAAAGCGCGCGUAGGCGGCUUUGUAAGUUAGAGGUGAAAGCCCGGAGCUCAACUCCGGAACUGCCUUUAAAACUGCAUCGCUUGAAUCCAGGAGAGGUGAGUGGAAUUCCGGAGUGUAGAGGUGAAAUUCGUAGAUAUUCGGAAAGAACACCAGUGGCGAAGGCGGCUCACUGGACUGGUAUUGACGCUGAGG
rnacentral:rRNA from 1 species